GUCCGCCUGGUUGGCGCGAAAGUCGGUUCCUGGCCGCGGCGCUUCCGGGUUCGGCUGCGUUUUCUUGGGGCUGGGGGCGUCCCCGGGGGCGGGGGCUGCGCGCCGGGCUGGCGCCCGACUCCAGCAGCGGUCCCGCUGGCCGCGCGCCCCCCGACUUGGUGCCUGUGGGCCCUCAGGCUCCACCGAGUUCAGCAAUGUCCAGAAAUGACCAAGAACCGUUUUUUGUGAAGUUUUUAAAGUCUUCAGACAAUUCAGAAUGUUUUUUUAAAGCUCUUGAGUCAAUAAAGGAGUUACAAUCAGAAGAUUAUCUUCAGAUUAUUACAGAAGAAGAAGCAUUGAAGAUAAAGGAGAAUGACAGAUCACUUUAUAUCUGUGACCGUUUCAGUGGUGCUGUUUUUGAUCACCUUAAACAGCUUGGCUGCAGAAUUGUUGGUCCUCAAGUAGUCACAUUUUGUAUGCGCCACCAGCAGUGUGUCCCAAGAGCUGAGCAUCCAGUUUACAAUAUGCUUUUGUCCAGUGUAACUAUAUCUUGUACAAGCCUGGAUAAAGACAAAAGGGAAGAAGUUCAUAAAUAUGUACAAAUGAUGGGUGGACGAGUAUACCGAGACCUUAAUGUAUCAGUCACUCACCUUAUUGCAGGAGAAGUUGGGAGCAAAAAAUACUUAGUUGCUGCUAAUCUGAAGAAACCUAUUUUGCUUCCUUCUUGGAUAAAAACGCUUUGGGAGAAGUCACAAGAGAAUAAAAUAACCAGAUACACUGACAUAAACAUGGAAGACUUUAAGUGUCCUAUUUUUCUUGGUUGCAUUAUCUGUGUGACUGGCUUAAAUGGUAUACACAGAAAGACAGUUCAGCAACUGACAUCUAAGCAUGGAGGCCAGUACAUGGGGCAGCUGAAGAUGAAUGAAUGUACACAUCUCAUUGUUCAAGAACCAAAAGGACAAAAAUAUGAAUGUGCCAAGAGAUGGAAUGUGCAUUGUGUGACCCUGCAGUGGUUUCAUGACAGUAUUGAGAAAGGCUUUUGUCAGGAUGAAUCUAUAUACAAGGCUGAACCCAGAGCAGAAGUAAAGACGGUGCCUGAUACUUCAACUCCCACUGGUCAGAGCAAUGCAGCAGCUGAAAGUCGCACUCUUGCAGAUGUCAGCCAUAUAUCCAACAUAAACAGCAGUUGUAUAAAUGAAACAAUGUUCAGUUCAGCUUCUAACAAACUUGAAUGUACACUUGAAAACCUAGAAAAUCUGGACAUCAGUGUAUUUCAAGCCCCUGAAGAUUUGCUAGAUGGCUGUCGGAUUUAUCUUUGUGGUUUUAGUGGCAGAAAGCUAGAUAAACUGAGAAGACUUAUUAACAGUGGCGGUGGAGUUCGGUUUAAUCAACUUAAUGAAGAUGUAACUCAUGUAAUUGUGGGAGAUUAUGAUGAUGACUUGAGGCAGUUUUGGAGCAAAUCAUCCCACAGGCCUCACGUAGUAGGAGCAAAGUGGUUGCUGGAGUGUUUUAGUAAAGGAUAUAUGCUUCCUGAAGAGCCUUAUAUCCACAGUAACUACAAACCGGUUGGAAUUCCAGUCUCAGAUCAGUCUGAGGACCAGACAAUUAUCUUAGAAAAGAAUAGCACAUUCUCUAAGAAAGAUUUUGCUCCUAAUGAGAAGCUCCAGGAAGCUGAUGAGGAACUGCUUGCUCAGUAUGUAAAUAAUGACUCCACAAUAGUUGAAGCUAAGCCAUCUGAGGCUACAGAGCCUGAAGUUGGGCCUUGCAGUGAUUCUACUCAAGUUGAGCCCUGUGAUGACUCCACUCACAUUUCUGUGCACGAGGAAGACCAUUCUUCAGUCAGCCAUUGCCUCCUUGAUGGCUCUGCAGUUCCUGAGGAAGGCUUAUUUAGCCAAAAGAGCUUCCUUAUUUUGGGUUUUAGUGUUGAAAAUGAAUAUAAUAUUAUAAACAUCAUAAGAGAACAUGCUGGAAAGAUCGUGUCCCUUCCCAGCAGAAUUGUUGCCGACUAUGCUGUGGUUCCGCUGCUGGGGUGUGAAGUAGAAGCAACUGUGGGAGAAGUUGUUACAAAUACGUGGCUGGUUACGUGUAUAGAUUACCAGACACUAGUUGAUCCCAAGUCAAAUCCCCUCUUCACACCAGUGUCGGUAAUGUCAGGAAUGACUCCUUUAAAGGACUGUGUGAUUUCUUUCAGUCAGUGUGUUGGAGCAGAGAGAGAUUCCUUGGUAUUUUUAGCAAAUCACCUUGGAGCAAGUGUUCAAGAAUUCUUUGUUCGUAAAUCCAAUGCAAAGAAAGGCAUGCUCGCCAGUACACAUCUUAUAGUGAAAGAACCGACUGGUUCUAAAUAUGAAGCUGCAAAGAAGUGGAGUUUGCCAGCAGUCACUAUUCCAUGGCUCUUAGAAACUGCUAGAAUGGGAAAGAGAGCAGAUGAAAGCCAUUUUCUGGUUGACAGUGCACCUAAACAAGAACAAGUAUUAGAAACUAAGCUACCAAAUGGAGUGGAUCCAAAUCCAGACUCUCCAGCAAAUCCUGACAUACAUCUGGAAAUGCACAGAAAAGUGGCUGUUACACCUUUGGACAUGAACCACUUUCAGAGUAAAGCUUUCCAUGCUGUCAUGUCUCAGCACUGUAAGCAGGACUCGGUCUCUUCGGCAGUAGGACAGCCACUUAAGAAGGAGCCCUCCUUACAUCUGGACACACCAUCAAAGUUUCUGUCCAGGGACAAACUCUUCAAGCCAUCUUUUGAUGUAACGGAUGCCCUUGCAGCCUUGGAAACCCCAAGAACUGCCACCCAGAAAAGGAAACUGAGCUCACCACUCUCUGAAGUCAUUGUCAGAAACCUGAAAAUUGCUUUGGCAAAUAGUUCCCGAAACACCAACACUCUUUCUGCCAGCCCUGAGCCAAAGGGUGCCCAUUUGGAAGAGGAAGAGGCCCCAAAACCCCUUGACAAAGUUGUGGUAUGUGUGAGUAAAAAGCUCAGUAAGAAGCAGAGUGAACUAAAUGGGGUUGCAGCCUCCCUGGGAGCAGAGUACAGGUGGAGUUUUGAUGAGUCGGUGACUCAUUUCAUUUAUCAGGGUCGGGCACACGAUAGUAAUCGAGAAUAUAAAUCUGCAAAAGAAAGAGGGGUACAUAUUGUUUCUGAGCAUUGGCUUUUAGAGUGUGCUCAAGAGUAUAAGCAUCUUCCUGAAUCUCUUUAUCCACACACUUACAAUCCCAAAAUGAGCCUGGACAUCAGUACAGUGCAAGAUGACGGGUUCUGUAAUAGCCGGCUGCCCUCAGCAGUUUCUGCAUCUAAGGAUGUUGAGCCGGAUCAUUUGUCUAGAGAAGAAAAUGAGAUGGACAGCACUGUCACAAUUAACAGAGACUCAGCACUAGAGAAUGGGAACGGAAGAAAUGACUGUAAAGGAGCUCUGACACAGACCUUGGAGAUGAGAGAAAACUUCCAGAAGCAAUUGCAAGAGAUCAUGUCAGCAACCUGCAUCGUGAAGACGCCUGCGCAGAGGACUUGCCUGUCAAGAAGCAGUUGUAAUAGUGCUUCUUCAACUCCUGACAGUACUCGCUCUGCUCGGAGUGGACGAAGUCGAGUCCUGGAGGCACUCAGGCAGUCUAGACAGAUAGUGCCUGAUAUCAACACAGAGCCCUCCCAGAAUGAGCAGAUCAUUUGGGAUGACCCAACAGCAAGGGAGGAGAGAGCAAGGCUCGCCAGCAACUUGCAGUGGCCUAGCUACCUCACACAGUAUUCUGAGCUUCAGGUUGACCUUAAAAAACUGGAUGAUUCUCCUUCUCGAGAGCCUGUAUGCCGUUCAGAAAUUGCUGAGCAGGUCUUAUGUGUGACCGAAGCUCCAGAACAUCCAAUCUCUGAAGACCCAGAAACUCCAACAACAGAUAGGCAUCUAAUGCCUGUGCCUCAAGCCCCCAGCACUGCUUUCCCCCCAAACAAGCCACCUGUGACUCCACACCCUAUCGACAAGAUUGAAAAAAUGGAGGAGAAUCUUACAAAACUUAAAAAGCAGUAUGUGUUCCAGAUGUCGUCUCUUAAUGCUCAAGAGCGGACUGAGUACUGCCACCUGAUUAAAAAACUAGGUGGGCUGGUGAUUGAGAAGCAGUGCUCAGACCCCAGGUGCACACACAUGGUUGUGGGGUACCCAUUGCGCAAUGAGAAGUACCUAGCCUCCAUGGCAGCUGGCAAGUGGAUACUUCAUCGUACCUAUUUGGAAGCUUGCAGGACAGCGGGGUGCUUUGUGCAGGAAGAAGACUAUGAAUGGGGCAGUAGCUCCAUACUUGAUGCUCUCACUGAUGUCACUGAACACCAGCAAAAACUGGCACUUGCAGCAAUGAGGUGGAGGAAAAGAAUCCAACAAAGACAAGAAUUAGGCAUUGUUGAGGUACGGACAUAUAUACUUACGUGAUGACUAUAUAGAUACUACAAAUAGGAUUCAGUGUUAGGACUUUUGUUUUGAAGAAUAUGCUUGACCAAGUAAUUCUAAUUAUCUUUUAUUCCUUAAUUGAUAUUUUGUUGUGCAUUCUAUGUUGAGCUAAAAUUUGUGUUGUAGCUGUGCAGGUGCCACAUGCUUUUAAUUCCAGCACUUGGGAGACAGAGGCAGGAGGAUGUCUGUGAGUUCCUGGGCUCUGUACAGAGAUCCUGUCUCAAAAAACAAGAGUAUUUAUUAUGUUGCACAGUGAGAUAUGGGUCUUCUAAAUGUAAUUUGUCUCUUCAGGGUGUAGCAUCUGGAAUAAUCCUAAACUGAGUCCACAGAUUUCUCCCAAAGGAGUCUGAGACCCAAAGUCUGUAUCCUUUGAGUAAGAAUAUUAUUUCCUUAACCUUCAAUUUUUAAAAUUUUGGUUCCACAUACAGAGAAAACAUAUUAUUUGUCCUUCUUGGUCUGGCUUACUCAAACAAUGAUCUCCAGUUCUAUCCAUUUCCCAGUGGAUGACAUGAUUCCAUUCUUUUUUAUGGCUAAGUAAUACUCCACUAUAUGUACUAUAUAUUAUAUGACAGCAUUAAGCAAUAUAUGGGAUUCCUCCUCCCCCCACCGUCUUUGCUUGCAUUUCUUGUUAUUUUCUGAUGGUAGCUAUUUUGGCUAGGGUGAAAUGUAAUCUCAACUUAGUUUGAUUUUUAUUUUCCUGAUGGCUAAAACUCAAACAAUUUUUCAAGUAUUUAUUGUCCACAUAUAUUUUCUUUAUUUAUGUGUAUGAGGAGAUCAGAAGAAUAUCAGACACCAUGGACUUAGUUACAGGCUGUUGUGAGCUGCCUGUGUGGGUGCUGGGAAUCAAACCCUGGUCCUCUGCAAGAACAGUUUAACCACUAAAUCAUCUCUCUAGCCUUUCAUUUGGAUUUCUUUUGAGAAUUUUUGGUUUGCUUCGUUUGUUUGUUGACUAAUUGCAAACGAUUUGAGGUGGUUUUUGUUUUAAUUACAUUUCAGUCCAUUGUAUGGUACUCCUGUAAUCCUAGCACUUGGGGGACAGAAGAAUCAAUUCAGAGCCAGCCUCAAUACAUUGGGACUGAAAAUUAGCCUGAGCUGUAUGGGUAAAAAAAAAAAAAGCUAAUGGGCUAGAGAGAUGACUGGAGUAAGAGCACUUGCUGUUUUUCCGGAGGACUCAGGUUUGCUUCCCAGCAUUUGCAAGGUGGCUCACAAUCAUCUGUAAAUCCAGAGGAUCCGACACCCUCUUCUGGCCUCUACCAGCUCUGUAUGCAAGUGAUAGACUGUGGAGGACAGGGGGAGCAUUUAGUGGCUGGAAGGUUAUUUUAUGUGUUGAUCGGCCCCGAGAAGCUGGGUUUAAGCGUCUUCUUCAGGCAGGAGGAGCAGAGGUGUUACCUGGUCAUCCCGUACCUUUAUUUAAUGAGG